UGGCUCAGAACGAACGCUGGCGGCGUGCUUAACACAUGCAAGUCGAACGCGAAAGGGACUUCGGUCCUGAGUAAAGUGGCGCACGGGUGAGUAACGCGUAGAUAACCUGUCUUCAUGUCUGGAAUAAUACGCCGAAAGGGGUACUAAUACCGGAUAUUCUUGCUUUUCAUAAGUUAUGCAAGCAAAGGUGGCCUCUGCAUAUGCUACUGCAUGAAGAGGGGUCUGCGUACCAUUAGCUAGUAGGUGGGGUAAUGGCCUACCUAGGCGACGAUGGUUAGCGGGUCUGAGAGGAUGAUCCGCCACACUGGCACUGGAACACGGGCCAGACUCCUACGGGAGGCAGCAGUGAGGAAUAUUGCGCAAUGGGGGAAACCCUGACGCAGCGACGCCGCGUGAGUGAGGAAGGCCUUCGGGUCGUAAAGCUCUGUCAAGAGGAAAGAAGUGUACAAUGGCUAAUACCUGUUGUAUUUGACGGUACCUCUAAAGGAAGCACCGGCUAACUCCGUGCCAGCCGCGGC
rnacentral:rRNA from 1 species